rnacentral:rRNA from 1 species
GAUGAACGCUGGCGGCGUGCCUAAUACAUGCAAGUCGAGCGGACGGACGAGAAGCUUGCUUCUCUGAUGUUAGCGGCGGACGGGUGAGUAACACGUGGAUAACCUACCUAUAAGACUGGGAUAACUUCGGGAAACCGGAGCUAAUACCGGAUAAUAUUUUGAACCGCAUGGUUCAAAAGUGAAAGACGGUCUUGCUGUCACUUAUAGCUGGAUCCGCGCUGCAUUAGCUGGUUGGUAAGGUAACGGCUUACCAAGGCAACGAUGCAUGGCCGACCUGCGAGCGGGUAGGCGCACAGAGAAGGUGAGAGACGGCACAGGCACCGACGGGCGGCAGAAGCAGCUAAUGUUGCGAAAUGGGCGAAAGCUUGACGGAGCGACGCCGCGCGGGUGAAGAAGGUCCUCGUACCGUAAAACGCUGUUAUUAGUGAAGACCAUAUGUGCCAGUAACGGUGCACAUCUUGACGUUACCGAUUAAGAAGACCACGCCUACCUACUU